rnacentral:rRNA from 1 species
AGUCACUGACAUUAGAUACCCCUGUAGUCCAGGGUGUAAACGCUGCAGACUUGGUGUUGGAGGCCCUUUGGGGGCAUUCAGUGCCGGAGAGAAGUUGUUAAGUCUGCUACUUGGGGAGUACGUCCGCAAGGAUGAAACUUAAGGGAAUUGGCGGGGGAGCACCGCAACGGGAGGAGCGUGCGGUUUAAUUGGAUUCAACACCGGAAAACUCACCAGGGGAGACUGUUACAUGAAACCCAGACUAAUGAUCUUGGUUGAUUUUUCAG